CAAACGGCCCUUUUCAGGGCCACUACAGACUAUGCACAUUUUUAUAU
rfam:Trichuris suis scaffold350.1, whole genome shotgun sequence.